rnacentral:piRNA from 1 species
GGAUCAGCAAUUCUGAGUUUGUAGGGACCU